rnacentral:rRNA from 1 species
UACAGAGGGUGCGAGCGUUAAUCGGAAUUACUGGGCGUAAAGCGUGCGUAGACGGUUAUUUAAGUCGGAUGUGAAAGCCCCGGGCUCAACCUGGGAAUUGCAUUCGAGACUGAAUAGCUAGGGUGCGGUAGAGGGAAGCGGAAUUUCCGGUGUAGCGGUGAAAUGCGUAGAUAUCGGAAGGAACAUCAGUGGCGAAAGCGGCUUCCUGGACCAGCACCGACGUUCAGGCACGAAAGCGUGGGGAGCGAACAGG